rfam:Asian citrus Psyllid, Diaphorina citri - Florida Strain, whole genome shotgun sequence.
GCUCCCAUGGCGUAGUGGUCACUGCGCUCGCCUUGCACGCGGGAGACCCGGGUUCGAUUUUCGGCGGGGUCA